UGGGGAAUUUUGGACAAUGGGCGCAAGCCUGAUCCAGCCAUGCCGCGUGCGGGAAGAAGGCCUUCGGGUCGUAAACCGCUUUUGUCAGGGAAGAAAUCUUCUGAGUUAAUACCUCGGGAGGAUGACGGUACCUGAAGAAUAAGCACCGGCUAACUACGUGCCAGCAGCCGCGGUAAUACGUAGGGUGCAAGCGUUAAUCGGAAUUACUGGGCGUAAAGCGUGCGCAGGCGGUUUUGUAAGACAGAGGUGAAAUCCCCGGGCUCAACCUGGGAACUGCCUUUGUGACUGCAAGGCUUGAGUGCGGCAGAGGGGGGAUGGAAUUCCGCGUGUAGCAGUGAAAUGCGUAGAUAUGCGGAGGAACACCGAUGGCGAAGGCAAUCCCCUGGGCCUGCACUGACGCUCAUGCACGAAAGCGUGGGGAGCAAACAGGAUUAGAUACCCUGGUAGUCCACGCCCUAAACGAUGUCAACUGGUUGUUGGGAAGGUUCCUUCUCAGUAACGUAGCUAACGCGUGAAGUUGACCGCCUGGGGAGUACGGCCGCAGGGUUG
rnacentral:rRNA from 1 species